AAGCGCUUUAGCGGUGUGGGAUGAGCCCGCGGCCUAUCAGCUUGUUGGUGGGGUGACGGCCUACCAAGGCGACGACGGGUAGCCGGCCUGAGAGGGUGUCCGGCCACACUGGGACUGAGAUACGGCCCAGACUCCUACGGGAGGCAGCAGUGGGGAAUAUUGCACAAUGGGCGCAAGCCUGAUGCAGCGACGCCGCGUGGGGGAUGACGGCCUUCGGGUUGUAAACCUCUUUCACCAUCGACGAAGGUCCGGGUUCUCUCGGAUUGACGGUAGGUGGAGAAGAAGCACCGGCCAACUACGUGCCAGCAGCCGCGGUAAUACGUAGGGUGCGAGCGUUGUCCGGAAUUACUGGGCGUAAAGAGCUCGUAGGUGGUUUGUCGCGUUGUUCGUGAAA
rnacentral:rRNA from 1 species